AGCAGCCACUCAUUAAAAGAGUGCGUAAUAGCUCACUGGUCGAGUGACUCUGCGCCGAAAAUUUAACGGGGCUAAACUAUACACCGAAGCUUGGGAUACAUCUAAUGUAUGGUAGGAGAGCGUUCUGUAUGGAGAGAAGUCGUAGCGAAAGCGGCGGUGGACUAUACAGAAGUGAGAAUGCCGGAAUAAGUAGCGAGAAUUAAGUGAGAAUCUUAAUGGCCGAAAGUCUAAGGUUUUUGGAGGAAGGUUCGUCCGCUCCAAGUAAGUCGGGAGCUAAGGUCAGGCCGAAAGGCGUAGCCGAUGCACAUACGGUUGAUAUUCCGUAACCAUCUGUAAUUUAAGCAAAGGGACACUUCAAAAGGGUGUGACCCGGGCGUUGGUUGACCCGGGCGUAAGGGACCGAAAUUAGAGUAGGGAAGCACACUUAGCUGAAGGCGAGAAAAGCUUUGCGUAUAGAAGCAGAUGCCCGUACCGCAAACCGACACAGGUGGACAGGAAGAGAAUUCUAAGGCCAGCGGGAGAAGGGUAGUUAAGGAACUCGGCAAAUUGACUCCGUAACUUCGGAAUAAGGAGUGCUCGAAAGAGCCGCAGAGAAUAGGCCCAGGCGACUGUUUAGCAAAAACACAGGUCUCUGCCAAAUCGAAAGAUGAAGUAUAGGGGCUGACACCUGCCCGGUGCCGGAAGGUUAAGAGGAGGAGUGAGAGCUCCGAAUUGAAGCCCCGGUAAACGGCGGCCGUAACUAUAACGGUCCUAAGGUAGCGAAAUUCCUUGUCGGGUAAGUUCCGACCCGCACGAAUGGUGUAACGAUCUGGGCACUGUCUCAACUACCCACCCGGCGAAAUUGUAGUACCGGUGAAGAUGCCGGUUACCUGCGGCAAGACGGAAAGACCCCAUGGAGCUUUACUGUAGCCUGAUAUUGGGUUUCGGAAAUCUAUGUACAGGAUAGGCGGGAGACUAGGAAACAUGAGCGUCAGCUUGUGUGGAGUCGAUGUUGGGAUACCGCCCUUAGGUUUCUGGAAUUCUAACCUGCGGCCGUGAAUCCGGUCGGGGGACAUUGUCAGGUGGGCAGUUUGACUGGGGCGGUCGCCUCCGAAAAGAUAACGGAGGCGCUCAAAGGUUAGCUCAGCACGGACGGAAACCGUGCCUCUGAGUGUAAACGCAAAAGCUAGCCUAACUGCGAGGGUGACGGCCCGAGCAGUAACGAAAGUUGGAGUUAGUGAUCCGGCGGUAUGUGAAUGGAAAUGCCGUCGCUCAACGGAUAAAAGCUACCCUGGGGAUAACAGGCUGAUCUCCCCCA
rnacentral:rRNA from 1 species